rnacentral:lncRNA from 1 species
AUUGUCUUCUGUCAAUUAUGGGAAUGGGUGCCAAUAAUUUUUAGUGCAUUUUCCCCACAGUUUUGGUUUUCAGGUAAUGAACUACACCAAUGUUCAAGUACAUGGUUUUAUGUUUUUAACAUUAUGAUAAUCUCAUAUUGCUACUUCUAUCUAAAUGUUAUAAACUGUACUAAAACUUUGAUUUUCUUAAAUCUAAGACAUUGCUGCCUGAAGUGGGAAACCCAUACUCUCAACAACUCAGAAUGAUAAUGGGUAUUAUCCAACAAAAGAGGCCAUAUUCAAUGAAGCUCACAAUUGUAAAGCAGCGAGAACAACCAGAAAUGGUUUUCCGACAGUUCCUGGUAGAAGACAAAGGACUUUACGGAGGCUCUUCUUAUGUGGAUUUCCUUUGUUGUGUUCACAAGGAGAUCUGUCAGCUGCUU